UUUUUGGAGAGUUUGAUCCUGGCUCAGGACGAACGCUGGCGGCGUGCCUAACACAUGCAAGUCGAACGGAAACAACCUCUAAGUUUACUUAGAGAGCGUUUUAGUGGCGGACGGGUGAGUAACGCGUGGGUAACCUACCCAACAAGCCGGGACAACCCUUGGAAACGAGGGCUAAUACCGGAUACGCUUAAGACCUGGCAUCAGGUUUUAAGGAAAGGUGGCCUCUGAAGAUGCUA
rnacentral:rRNA from 1 species